rnacentral:siRNA from 1 species
UUUGGGGUGGAACAAUUUUGUU